CAGUCGAGCGGGCCCUUCGGGGUCAGCGGCGGACGGGUGAGUAACGCGUGGGAGGAGCCUUCUGGUUCGGAAUAACCCUGGGAAACUAGGGGGAAACAGGAAACGCCCUUUUGGGGAAAGGUUUACUGCCGGAAGAUCGGCCCGCGUCUGAUUAGCUAGUUGGUGGGGUAACGGCCUACCAAGGCGACGAUCAGUAGCUGGUCUGAGAGGAUGAUCAGCCACACUGGGACUGAGACACGGCCCAGACUCCUACGGGAGGCAGCAGUGGGGAAUAUUGGACAAUGGGCGCAAGCCUGAUCCAGCCAUGCCGCGUGAGUGAUGAAGGCCUUAGGGUUGUAAAGCUCUUUUAUCCGGGACGAUAAUGACGGUACCGGAGGAAUAAGCCCCGGCUAACUUCGUGCCAGCAGCCGCGGUAAUACGAAGGGGGCUAGCGUUGCUCGGAAUCACUGGGCGUAAAGGGCGCGUAGGCGGCGUUU
rnacentral:rRNA from 1 species